rnacentral:rRNA from 1 species
CCUACGGGAGGCAGCAGUGAGGAAUAUUGGUCAAUGGACGAGAGUCUGAACCAGCCAAGUAGCGUGAAGGAUGACUGCCCUAUGGGUUGUAAACUUCUUUUAUAUGGGAAUAAAACGUUCCACGUGUGUGAUUUUGUAUGUACCAUAUGAAUAAGGAUCGUCUAACUCCGUGCCAGCAGCCGCGGUAAUACGGAGGAGCUGAGCGUUAUCCGGAUUUAUUGGGUUUAAAGGGAUCGUAGGUGGAUUGUUAAGUCAGUUGUGAAAGUUUGCGGCUCAACCUUAAAAUUGCAGUUGAAACUGGCAGUCUUGAGUACAGUAGAGGUGGGCGGAAUUCGUGGUGUAGCGGUGAAAUGCUUAGAGAUCACGAAGAACUCCGAUUGCGAAGGCAGUUCACUGGACUGCAACUGACACUGAGGCUCGAAAGUGUGGGUAUCAAACAGGAUUAGAUACCCCGGUAGUC